GGAUAUCUGUGGACCUUAUGGAAGCAAAGACUCUUGGAACUGUAACGCCCAGAAAACCUGUCUUAUCUGUCAGUGCAAGAAAAAUUAAGGACAAUGCGGCUGAUUGGCACAAUUUAAUCCUGAAGUGGGAAACCCUCAAUGAUGCAGGUUUUACCACUGCAAAUAAUAUUGCCAACUUGAAAAUCAGUUUAUUGAAUAAAGACAAGAUAGAACUAGACAGCAGCAGCCCAGCCUCGAAGGAAAAUGAAGAAAAGGUGUGUCUGGAAUAUAACGAGGAACUGGAGAAGCUGUGUGAGGAACUGCAGGCCACCUUGGAUGGGUUGAUGAGGUUUCGCAUAAGCUCUUGGAGAUGUACAGGAAGGAGCUGCUCCUGAAGCGCACGGUGGCCAAGGAGCUUGCCCACACCGGGGAUCCCGACCUCACCCUGAGCUACCUGUCCAUGUGGCUGCACCAGCCCUAUGUGGAGAGCGACAGCAGGCUGCAUCUGGAGAGCAUGCUGCUGGAGACAGGCCACCGAGCUCUCUGACGUCCUGAGACGGCUGCGGACACUGGCUCCUUCCACGUCUCACCAG
rnacentral:lncRNA from 1 species